rnacentral:miRNA from 1 species
UGAUGAUUAUAAUAUUGAUGAUGAUGAUGAUGAUGACGGCACCGCCGCUGCUUGUUCCAUUUAUCGUCGUUGAUAUUGUCAUCAUCAAGAUCAGCAUCAUAUCAUCA